UUUCGACGCGGACGGUAGCUUUGCGCGCGGGUAUUCGACGCGGCCCACUCGCUCGGCGCCUCCGUGCGUCGAGUGGCGCUCGCGUCGACGCCGGUCAGCGACGAAUCUUCGGGCCUCUUUCCGACCCGUCUUGAAACACGGACCAAGGAGUCUAGCGUGCGCGCGAGUCGCGGGGUAUCCGAGCCGUCGUAGUCGUUUCGCGCGGCGAACGCGGCUCGUCACGAUACGAAACCCGUGUACGUACGUUGUGCGAAGGCAUAAUGAAAGUGAAAGGCGGCGCUUCGCGCGUCGCCGGGGGAAGAUAGUGUUCCGAGUUCACGUAUCGCGGUCGCACGUGUACCGCGACCGGACAC
rnacentral:rRNA from 1 species